rnacentral:rRNA from 1 species
GGGUAGUUUGACUGGGGCGGUCUCCUCCUAAAGAGUAACGGAGGAGCACGAAGGUUGGCUAAUCCUGGUCGGACAUCAGGAGGUUAGUGCAAUGGCAUAAGCCAGCUUGACUGCGAGCGUGACGGCGCGAGCAGGUGCGAAAGCAGGUCAUAGUGAUCCGGUGGUUCUGAAUGGAAGGGCCAUCGCUCAACGGAUAAAAGGUACUCCGGGGAUAACAGGCUGAUACCGCCCAAGAGUUCAUAUCGACGGCGGUGUUUGGCACCUCGAUGUCGGCUCAUCACAUCCUGGGGCUGAAGUAGGUCCCAAGGGUAUGGCUGUUCGCCAUUUAAAGUGGUACGCGAGCUGGGUUUAGAACGUCGUGAGACAGUUCGGUCCCUAUCUGCCGUGGGCGCUGGAGAACUGAGGGGGGCUGCUCCUAGUACGAGAGGACCGGAGUGGACGCAUCACUGGUGUUCGGGUUGUCAUGCCAAUGGCACUGCCCGGUAGCUAAAUGCGGAAGAGAUAAGUGCUGAAAGCAUCUAAGCACGAAACUUGCCCCGAGAUGAGUUCUCCCUGACUCCUUGAGAGUCCUGAAGGAACGUUGAAGACGACGACGUUGAUAGGCCGGGUGUGUAAGCGCAGCGAUGCGUUGAGCUAACCGGUACUAAUGAACCGUGAGGCUUAACCUUACAAC